UACAGAGGUCUCAAGCGUUGUUCGGAUUCAUUGGGCGUAAAGGGUGCGUAGGCGGGUUGAUAAGUCAGUGGUGAAACCUCCGAGCUUAACUCGGAAACUGCCAUUGAUACUAUCAGUCUUGAAUUCAGUUGAGGUGGGCGGAAUGUGUCGUGUAGCGGUGAAAUGCUUAGAUAUGACACAGAACACCAAUUGCGAAGGCAGCUCGCUAAACUGACAUUGACGCUGAGGCACGAAAGCGUGGGGAGCAAACAGG
rnacentral:rRNA from 1 species